CCCCAGGUCAGGCGGGGCUACCCGCUGAAUUUAAGCAUAUCAAUAAGCGGAGGAAAAGAAACUUACAA
rnacentral:rRNA from 1 species